rnacentral:rRNA from 1 species
GAUGAACGCUGGCGGCGUGCCUAAUACAUGCAAGUCGAGCGAACGGACGAGAAGCUUGCUUCUCUGAUGUUAGCGGCGGACGGGUGAGUAACACGUGGAUAACCUACCUAUAAGACUGGGAUAACUUCGGGAAACCGGAGCUAAUACCGGAUAAUAUUUUGAACCGCAUGGUUCAAAAGUGAAAGACGGUCUUGCUGUCACUUAUAGAUGGAUCCGCGCUGCAUUAGCUAGUUGGUAAGGUAACGGCUUACCAAGGCAACGAUGCAUAGCCGACCUGAGAGGGUGAUCGGCCACACUGGAACGGAGACACGGUCCAGACUCCUACGGGAGGCAGCAGUAGGGAAUCUGCCGCAAUGGGCGAAAGCCUGACGGAGCAACGCCGCGUGAGUGAUGAAGGUCUUCGGAUCGUAAAACUCUGUUAUUAGGGAAGAACAUAUGUGUAAGUAACUGUGCACAUCUUGACGGUACCUAAUCAGAAAGCCACGGCUAACUACGUG